GUACCUGCUCCUCUUUAUGGGUGUGUGAUCCUCCUCUGGGUGGGUGCUUCUCCUCAUGGGUGGGUGCUUCUCCUCUGGGUGGGUGCUCCUCCUCAUGGGUACCUGCUCCUCUUUAUGGGUGCCUAUAGCAGUUGGCCCAAUGACACCUUCCUCCCUUCUAUCAUUCUUUCUGUUUUAAAUAAAAAAAGGGUGUUAGUGACGCAUUCGAUUUUAAGGUGGAGGGGACAGAAAAAGAGCCUAUGGUAGAAUAUCAGGCGCUUGCCCCUGCUUGCCCAGGUUCAGCUUGUGUCUGGUGCAUUCUCUGCCUUGUGAAUACAAUCUAAAGCCCACAUUUUGCAUUUGCAUAGAGAGGCUCAAUGAUUGAAGGCCUCCAUAGAAUUACCUUGAAAGAGAUGAUGGAGUCUUCCUAUGCACAACACAAUCCCAGAGGCUUCCUGUAACUUCCCAUGGUGUCAGGGGACCACUCCCAGCAGCUUGGGAAACCAGUAGUUAUGGACUUACUAAAAAACUAACAGAGAACAUGGAGGAGCAGACACUCCUAGCUAAGGCAGGUUAUAGAAGACUCUGAAAGAUAAAGCACCUUUUCACAGUUUGUUAGUGGAAUUUAUAUCCCACGGCUUUUGAGAAGGAACCAGCUCACACGGACUAUUUCUUGUAGUGUUUGAUUUUCAUUUAGAAAAUGAGGUUGCUGCAUAAACCUGGUGACCAGAGUUCAACUCUUGAAGCCCAUGUAAAAGAUGAAAGGAGAGAGUUGGCUCCAUAAAGCUGUCCUGUGAACUACACACACACACACACACACACACACACACACACACACACAGACACACACAUAUACACACACACACAUAUACACACACACAGACACACACACAUAUACACACACACACACAGACACCACACUCAUAUACACAGACAAACACACACACAUAUACACAAACACACACACAUAUACACAGACACACAGACACAUACACAGACACACACAGACACAUAUGCACAGACACACAGACACACACAGACACAUACACACUAAUAAUAAUAAUAAUAAAGCUUUUAAAAAUAAGAGGCUAUUAUAUUGUUUUAAAGCAUACAUGUUUUUAGACUUUAGGUUAUAUCUAAACACUAAUUUAAACCAAGUACUAGUUAAUAUAUUUGAUUUAAAACACAUUAUGGGCACGAAGCAUAUAAAAACUAAAUUUUAUUUUAUUCUGUUGGAAACAGAAUAAUCUGCCUUACAAAACAAUGUAAAUCAUCUUUUACCAUUGUUCUUCAAAAACAAUUUGAUAUUUGCAAGUCUAAAUUACACCUGCCAAAACUGGAAAUAAUAUUUUUUCAUUGGCCACAUUCUCCCUUCACUUCCUCUGUGUCUUUAGACAAAUGGAACCAGUAUUUCAGCAACAGUUUCACAAGAAAUAAAAGAAAGGAGGAGGGGCUGGGGAUUUAGCUCAGCGGUAGAGCGCUUGCCUAGGAAGUGCAAGGCCCUGGGUUCGGUCCCCAGCUCCGGGGAAAAAAAAAAAAAAGGGAAAAAAAAAAAAAAAAAAGAAAGGAGGAGAAAGACUCCCCGUGCCUUGUGGGUGUGAAAGGCUGGAUGUUUGCAUUCGUGGUCUCUCAGACGAAGUGCAUCUAAUAAGGCAGUGCAGGAGUUGGUGAGCGUCUGUGCCUAACCGCCCAUUUUCCCACAUACUGAGUUUCUCUGCCUAGCAGCAAACAUAUUAAUAUAUCAUGUGGGAAUUCAUUAAAUCGCUUUCUUAAAUAUCACAGUAUAUAAUAAAUGUAUCUUUGCGUAGACUGUAGAAGUAAUGGGCUUGGAAAGCUAAUUAAGUUGGACUGAAAGCCCAAGCUGAAUGAGGAAUAAAUAAGAAAACAGAACAAUUAGGUCUCCGCCUGCCUGGGCCUACUGUGAAGCGUGGUGAAUGAGGCGGGGUCGCCAGAAGGAACAGAACCCGAAAGAUGGACCUGUGGAGAGGUUGCUGGGUCUUACAGGCUGGAUAACUCCAAGGAAGGACCUUCCCACAGCAGAUUUCACCCCUGAGGGGCUGGCACCCUCGGAGGGGCUGGCUCAAGAGUCCCAGCCUAGGAACUGGCUCUGAUGCCAGUGAAGGAAUUAGCAGCAACAAUAGGGUAAAUGAGCUUGGCAUCAAGAGAGCAAAGGUCAAGAGAGCGAAGGUCAAGAGAGUGAAGGUCAAGGGAUCGAAGGUCAAGGGAUCGAAGGUCAAGGGAGCAAAAGGGGAAGAAGAACCUUCUGCCACACCUGUUUAAUCUUUGCUGCUGCUGGCAGGUGCCAUUCACACAUCAAUUAAGGCAACUGGGACAGUUCUUAAGAUGAGGUUCCUUAUCUUAGAUUCUAAGCUAAUCGUCUUAUCAGAUGAUUCUAACUUGUGGCAAGAAGACGUAAAAGGCACAAUUGCAAUAGAGAAUCGCAGAAACUCUAGUCCAGACUGUAUUGAAACCACGGAUCCCCAUGGAAUAUACCGAGGAAGCUGCCAUUCUGUGUUAUCACUGCACUCUCUGUGUAGAGAUACUCAUGAUUUACCUACACAGUUCAAGGGUUCCGAAUUUAGAAAACUAAACUAUAUAUCCUUCGAUUCUUAUUUUCCCUCUCCAACUGCCACAGAAUAAUCCCUCCAGCAAUCCUCCACAUAUCUGAAGGCCAUCACUUUACCUUAGAACUAUCCUACUGCUACUGAGGCGUUGCUGACAAGGAUGCUGUCAGAGUCAGGGUCAGCAACUGGAACGUUUGCACCCCUAGAGCACACGGGAAGGAGUCCUCCUCAGAUGCCAGCUUCAGUGGUCACUAGAGCAGAAAGGAGGGAGUCCUAGACGUGGGAUCCAGGGAAGAGUCUUAAGGCUUAAUUUUAACUUGGUUGCAGCAAAUGUCAAGGCUGUUAACAUUUCGUCUGCUCCAAUAAACCAAGACGAAAGUUUUGAUUCAUGUCCUUAACAUUCAGCUGAGCCUAUGAUUUUGAAUGUGAGCUUUGAGUUAAUUCUCUUGCCUAUUUUGCCACUGGCCAGUUCUGUGUCCUGGGGCAAUCCUCCCACUGACUCAGGUUCCUGUACAAAGACACGUGUGAUGUUCCUACACAUGAGGAUCCAUGCCCCUUCCCUGGACUCCCUUCUCCAACUCCCAGCUCGCUCACCCAGAUGAGCAUCUGUCUGAUAUUGCACCACAUGCUCCAUUGAAACACUGGUUGUGGUUUUGAUCACCCGAGGCUUUUGUUGGUUUGUCUGUGAAAUACUAGUUCUUGAAGGCUAGACUCAGUCUUGGUCUGUACUUGGUAUGAAUACCUCCUGGAAACAUUAGUUUUGUUUUGUUUUUUUUCUUCUUUUUCUUUUUUCUUUUUUUUUUCGGAGCUGGGGACUGAACUCAGGGCCUUGAGCUUGCUAGGCAAGUGCUCUACCGCUGAGCUAAAUCCCCAACCCCGAAACAUUAGUUUUAAAAGCACAAAAGAAGAGGUAAGAAAUUAGAACGAUCAAGUUAGACAAAAAUUGUCUAAAUAGCCCCACAGCUAAAACUCUAUAAUCCUCUCUCCUUGAGUGCUGAGAUUCCUAAGCAGUCUUGGAGUUUCAGAAAUUCUGUAUGAAGAGACUCAGUUUCUAAGUGGUUACAUCAGAACAAAAAAUGUAUGUAUCUUUGUGUAUGUACAUGUGUUCUAAUUCUUAGGACUGGGAUUUAGAAUUCACGUAAUGAGCCAAACUUUAUUUUACAAACGAGGAAACUGAGGCACAAUGAGACUAAGUUAUCUGGCUAAACUCCUUCACUUAGCUCAUUUUACAAGCUUUGACCUCUCUGGAGCCUCGACCUGACCCCUGUCUUUUGAAAGAAUAGCUACAACUGUGACUGCAAAUGAAAGUGUCCUGUGCUGCCCUCUGAUGUGCAGGUCGCACCUACGGACACAUUUCUGGCCACAAACCAAACCUCAAGAAACAAACAUCUCCGAGCAAACUCAUGAAAAUGUGUCCCGUCUUCUUCCGGACUGUCAGAGCGCGCUGCAGGUCUACAUUAAAUUACUCCUUCAGAGACUUUGCUAGGUAGGCUGUAGUCCCAUGAAUUUCUAGUCCCACACUGGGAAUUCGGGCUCAGUGUUCUGGUGUUAAGCCAUGAGUAGAGCUACCCUAAGACCAACUUCUUGGCAAGUAGCCUUGAGGUACAGCUGUAAGGUGACCCGGUACAGGGCUGAGGGCCAGAGCUCAGUGCCAAUGCCAAAAAAAAAAAAAAAAAAAAAAAAAACAA